GACGAACGCUGGCGGCGUGCUUAACACAUGCAAGUCGAACGGAAAGGCCCUGCUUUUGUGGGGUGCUCGAGUGGCGAACGGGUGAGUAACACGUGAGUAUCCUGCCCUUGACUUUGGGAUAACUUCAGGAAACUGGGGCUAAUACCGGAUAGGAGCUCCUGCUGCAUGGUGGGGGUUGGAAAGUUUCGGCGGUUGGGGAUGGACUCGCGGCUUAUCAGCUUGUUGGUGGGGUAGUGGCUUACCAAGGCUUUGACGGGUAGCCGGCCUGUGAGGGUUACCGGCCACAUUGGGACUGAGAUACGGCCCAGACUCCUACGGGAGGCAGCAGUGGGGAAUAUUGCACAAUGGGCGGAAGCCUGAUGCAGCAACGCCGCGUGCGGGAUGACGGCCUUCGGGUUGUAAACCGCUUUCGCCUGUGACGAAGCGUGAGUGACGGUAAUGGGUAAAGAAGCACCGGCUAACUACGUG
rnacentral:rRNA from 1 species